rnacentral:rRNA from 1 species
CAAGGAAUUUUCCCUAUUGGGCGCAAGCCUGAGGGAGCAACGCCGCGUGCAGGACGACGGCCUUCGGGUUGUAAACUGCUUUUCGGAGGGACGAUAAUGACGGUACCUCCGGAAUAAGCCCCGGCUAACUCUGUGCCAGCAGCCGCGGUAAGACAGAGGGGGCAAGCGUUGUCCGGACUUACUGGGCGUAAAGCGCACGCAGGCGGUCACAGGCGUCGGUGCUGAAAGCGCACCGCUUAACGGUGCAACGCGUGCCGAUACGCUGUGACUGGAGCCAUGCAGAGGUCCGUGGAAUUGCCGGUGUAGUGGUGAAAUGCGUAGAGAUCGGCAGGAACACCCAAGGGGAAGCCAGCGGACUGGGCAUGUGCUGACGCUCAUGUGCGACAGCGUGGGGAGCGAACUG